UACGUAGGGAGCAAGCGUUGUCCGGAAUCAUUGGGCGUAAAGCGCGCGUAGGCGGCCCGCUAAGUCCGCUGUAAAAGUCAACGGCUCAACUGUUGAAAGCCGGUGGAUACUGUCGGGCUAGAGUACGGAAGAGGCAAGUGGAAUUCCUGGUGUAGCGGUGGAAUGCGCAGAUAUCAGGAGGAACACCCAUAGCGGAGGCAGCUUGCUGGGACGUUACUGACGCUAAGGCGCGAAAGCGUGGGGAGCGAACAGG
rnacentral:rRNA from 1 species